UUGACUUGAUGAAGAUCUCUUUCCUUUUUGCUGGAUAUAUAAUUGACGAAGAUGGCGGGCCUUCCAGUCUUGCCUUCAUACAAGUCUGCUGCUAUGGAGAACCUUCAGUGAUUUGCGUUGAUUCUGUUGAUGCAUCUGGCUGGAUAUGAUUUCCCAAAAAUCACGGGAGAGGUCCUGAUGUGCUGAUGCAAAGUUGAUCUUCUCCUUGUGUGCCAACGACUUCCUUUAAUGAGGAUUUCCUUCCUUAUUUGAUGCUUCAAUCUCGCUUCCAUGAUUGGAUGUAGUGGCAACUUGCCUUUUUGCUUUGCUUCAUUAGUUUCAGUGGUUUUGCUUCCUUCCUUGAGUAUCUGUACAUGUAUAUUAAUUGCAUCAUUAAAAUCUAAUAAUCCCUCCCUUUUUGAUGAUGGAAAAAUUAAUAUACUAGAGUAAACAACAUUUGACUUCCCUGUUUACAUUCAGUUCCAUUGCUCCCCCUC
rnacentral:lncRNA from 1 species